AAUGCCCAGCUCCUGCUUCACCAUGGCCAAGUGUAAGAACUUGGUGAGCUCACUGUGAAACUCCACACAGUUUUUUUUAGAGAGAUCAAGUUCAGAGCAAGAAAUCCUGCUAUGUUUAUGUAGUGAGUACAGAGUAAUGAAUCAAAGUCAGACUAAUAGACCAAGGUCAGAAGUGAUUUCCUGAACCUCUGUCCUCACUCAUCCCUCUUCUUAAAUGCAGGCCUGGCUGGCAGGAGAAGUGGCCAUGAACCAUUCAGGUGAGGAUUUGAGUCUUAAGACAGAGUAUCUCUAACUUUCAUCAGUUUCCUCACUGCACUGAGGAUUUUUCCUUAUGCAUAGAAAAGGCAACCUCAUUUAUCCUUGACUGAGAAUCACAUUUUAACAAUGGAAUUAGCUAUUCCCUGCAUUACAAUGACUUGCUUUCUGUAAUUUGCCAUUAAUAUGCUUCUACCUGAACAGUGCAAAAUGUGAAUUAAAUUGCCACAGGGAAAAAUGAUGAACCUAUACUUUGAUUUAAUCUAAAAGCAGACAGUUAUAGUCUCUGUCCUCAUAAUAAUGUUCUUCCCUCUCUUCCCAAAAAUUUUACUUUGACUUGUCUAGG